UCCCCGUUACCGGGGCAGUCUAGCUAGAGAAAUUCAACUAACUAUAAGGGUUGCGCUCGUUGAUGGACUUAACCAAACAUCUCACGACACGAGCUGACGACGGCCAUGCAUCACCUGUCACUGCGGCCCGAAGGCACAUCCGCCUUUCGGCGGACUUGGCAGGAUGUCAAGCCUUGGUAAGGUUCUUCGCUUACCGUCGAAUUAAACAACACGCUCCACCGCUUGUGCGGGUCCCCGUCAAUUCCUUUAUGUUUUAAGCUUGCGCUCGUACUCCACAGGCGGGAUGCUUAACGCGUUAGCUUCGCUACUACCAGGGUCGAUACUGAUAACAGCUAGCAUCCAUAGUUUACGGCGUGGACUAC
rnacentral:misc_RNA from 1 species